rnacentral:tRNA from 1 species
GGGGAUGUAGCUCAGUUGGUAGAGCACUGUCUAGCGUACGAAGCUCUGGAUUCAAUCCCCAGCACUACCA